UACGUAGGUGGCAAGCGUUGUCCGGAUUUACUGGGCGUAAAGAGCGCGCAGGCGGUCAGAUAAGUCGAAUGUGGAAGCCCCCGGCUCAACUGGGGAGGGUCAUUCGAUACUGUUCGACUCGAAGGCAGGAGAGGGAAGUGGAAUUCCCGGUGUAGUGGUGAAAUGCGUAGAUAUCGGGAGGAACACCAGUGGCGAAGGCGACUUCCUGGCCUGUUCUUGACGCUGAGGCGCGAAAGCUAGGGGAGCAAACGGG
rnacentral:rRNA from 1 species